AUUGAACGCUGGCGGCAUGCCUUACACAUGCAAGUCGAACGGUAACAGGUCUUCGUAUGCUGACGAGUGGCGAACGGGUGAGUAAUACAUCGGAACGUGCCCUAUCCUUGGGGUUAACGUAGCUAAAGCUUUGCUAAUACCGCAUCCGAUCUACGCUUCUGAUCCGGGGACCGCAAUGCCUUGCGCGAACGGUGCGGCCGGUGGCCGAUUAGGUAGUUGGUGGGAUAAAAGCUUACCAAGCCGACGAGCUGUAGCUGGUCUGAGAGGACGACCAGCCACACGGGGACUGAGACACGGACAAGACUACUAAGGGAGGCAGCAGUGGGGAAUGUUGGACAAUGGGCGAAAGCCUGAUCCAGCCAUGCCGCGUGCAGGAUGAAGGCCUUCGGGUUGGAAACUGCUUUUGUACGGAACGAAAAGACUCUGGUUAAUACCUGGGGUCCAUGACGGUACCGUAAGAAUAAGCACCGGCUAACUACGUG
rnacentral:rRNA from 1 species